GAUGAACGCUGGCGGCGUGCUUAACACAUGCAAGUCGAACGAUGAUCCGGUGCUUGCACCGGGGAUUAGUGGCGAACGGGUGAGUAACACGUGAGUAACCUGCCCUUAACUCUGGGAUAAGCCUGGGAAACUGGGUCUAAUACCGGAUAUGACUCCUCAUCGCAUGGUGGGGGGUGGAAAGCUUUUGUGGUUUUGGAUGGACUCGCGGCCUAUCAGCUUGUUGGUGAGGUAAUGGCUCACCAAGGCGACGACGGGUUGCCGGCCUGAGAGGGGAACCGGCCACACUGGGACUGAGACACGGCCCAGACUCCUACGGGAGGCAGCAGUGGGGAAUAUUGCACAAUGGGCGGAAGCCUGAUGCAGCGACGCCGCGUGAGGGAUGACGGCCUUCGGGUUGUAAACCUCCUUCAGUAGGGAAGAAGCGAAAGUGACGGUACCUGUAGAAGAAGCGCCGGCUAACUACGUGCCAGCCGCCGCCGUAA
rnacentral:rRNA from 1 species